ensembl:misc_RNA 7SK 7SK RNA
GGAUGUGAGGGCGAUCUGGCUGCGACAUCUGUCACCCCAUUGAUAGCCAGGGUUGAUUCAGCUGAUCCAGCUGGCUAGGCAGAUGUCCCUUUCCUCCCUCACCGCUCCAUGUGCGUCAAUCCGGAAGCUGCGUGCUCAGUCGAAGAGAAUGGCCUUCCCCAAAUAGAGACGGAUGGAUCUUCAGUGGAGGGUGUAGGUGUAGCUGCAUUCCCCCUGCCAGAACCUCCAAAGAAGCUCUCCAGGUCCAUUUGUAGGAGAACAUAGGGUAGUCAAGAAGCUUACAAGGCUCCAGACACAUCCAAAUGAGAUGCUGCAUGUGGCAGUCUGCUUUUCUU